rnacentral:rRNA from 1 species
UCAAGAAACUUCCACAAUGGGCGAAAGCCUGAUGGAGCGACGUCGCGUGAUGGACGAAGUGCUUCGGCACGUAAACAUCUUUUAUGUGGGAUGAAAUUAUUGACAGUACCACAUGAAUAAGGGGCUCCUAACUCUGUGCCAGCAGGAGCGGUAGUACAGAGGCCCCAAGCGUUAUCCGGAAUCACUGGGCGUAAAGGGUGUCGAGGCGGUUGUAUUAGUCGUUCGUAAAAUCUACGAGCUUAACUUGUAGGCGGCGAACGAAACGGUACGACUUGAGGUUUGGAGAGGUGCGUGGAACUCACGGUGUAGGGGUGAAAUCCGUUGAUAUCGUGGGGAACACCAAAGGCGAAGGCAGCGCACUGGCCAAAAUCUGACGCUCACACACGAAAGCUAGGGUAGCGAAGAGGAUUAGAUACCCAAGUAGUCCCUGAGCGGGC